rnacentral:lncRNA from 1 species
AAAACCAGCCAGAGCAUAGGGAUUCUUAGGUUAAUUGAGCUGGGAACACAGCCCUGUGAAUGUCACUAAUACUAAUAUAAGAUACUGGACUGUAUUAAAAGGGGAAUGUGAGCUGAAUACAAUCACUCAUCACUCUGUUUCUGUUUCUUGGUUGUGGGUGCCAUGUGACUAUGGAGCUACCUCAUGCUCAUAUUACUGGGAAUUCCCUUCCAUGAUAUAUUGUAUCCCUGAAUGGUGAGCAGAAAAAAAAAAUCCUUCCUUCAUUAAAUUGCUUUAUCAGGGUGUUUUAUGAGCAAAAGAAACUAACCUAUAAGUGAUUGGUAGACAGUGACUAGGAAACGUUUGAACACAAUUUAAGACCCUGGUAGGAUAGGGGAAUAAAAUUAAGGAGAAAGAAAUAAUGGAAAAUUAGUAACAGGCAAGUUUUCCUCUUUCAGUCUUCAUCAUAAGCCUUAAGAAAGGUCUUUUCCUUUGAUGCCAACUUCUGUUCAGUAUUGUAGAUAAUAUAUGUCAUUCAGUAACUUCAAAAGACACAUUGACAUAUUUUAACUCAAAGUGCAAAAUACCAGGUAGGUAUUUUUGAAUUGCUGACUCUGGAAAAAUCUUCAAAUACCCAUAAAUUUCCCGUGACAACUUGUUUAAUUGAGUAAAGAAACAAAAGAGAUCACAGUAAAGUAGGUUUACUUCAAAGCACAGUGACAUCUUUAUGAAUGUGAAGACAACACCCAACAAAUGGAAGAGAACCUGUAGAGACCAUAUCCAGUGGAUAGGCAUGGCCUCCGGUUGAGUGAUGGGGUUACCCGCCCACCUCAAAAAUAUUAAUCCAGAAUUUUUCCUGUCAAAAGGAAAUGUAGUGAGAGAAUGGAGCAGAGACUGAAGGAAAGGCCAUCCAGAGACUGCCCCACCUAGGGAUCCAUCCUAUCUGCAAUCACAGAACCAAGACACUAUAGCUGAUGCCAAGAAGCUCUUACUGACAGGAACCUGGUAUAGCCAGCUGUACGCUGAGGGAGGCUCUGCUAGAACCUCACAAAUACAAAUGCAGAUGUACACAGCCAAACAUUGGACUGAGUGUGGGGGCUCCAAUGGAAAAGUUAGGGCAAGGACUGGAGGAGCUGAAGGGGUUUACAACUUCAUAGGAAGAACAGCAAUAUCAAUCAACCAGAACACACCCCCCCCCUCCAUUUCAGGGCUUUCUAGCUCUCUAACUGUACUGAAAUGCUGAUGAUAACUUCUAAAAUGUCCUAAAAUCUUUUUUUGCUCUUUCUGAGGGUGAAAGACUGCUGGCUUAGGUGAUUAACACCUGUAGCCUAACGGGAGAGGAUUAAGCAAUGUGGCCUUUGUUCUAUCUCAGCAGGAAUUGCUGGGCUCUAACUUUCUGCCUGCUAGUCAGAAGUCCCAAGAAGAAAAUGGGACACUUGUAGAGUUUAUUACUAAGUUGUAAAAAGUUUCCUAUGAAAGCUAUUUAAGAGGAAAGGCAAAAGGAUCCUAAGUGGGAAAAGGGAAAAGAUUUCUACUCUAAGUUGGGGAAAGCAAAAAAUUCUUCCCUCUCUUCUUUGUCUUCAGUAUUUAUACAUCUUUCAGAAUACACCAUCUCAUGUUAAAAAGUUCACCACAAGUUCAAACAAACAAAAAAAAUGAAAUCAUAAAUUGCUCCACUAUGUUCAUAGCAGCCUUAUUUAUAUUAGCCAGAAGCUGGAAAUGGUACAUUUACACAAUGGAGUACUACUCAGCUAUUAAAAAGAAUGAAUUCAUGAAAUUCCUAGGCAAAUAGUUGGACCUGGAGGGCAUCAUCCUGAGAGAGGUAACCCAAUCACAAAAGAAUUCAAAUGAAAUGUACUCACUGAUAAGUGGAUAUUAACCCAGAAACUUAGUAUAGCGAGAUAUAAGGUAUAAUAUGUAAAACAUAUGAAACUGAAGAAGAACGAAGACCAAAGUGUGGACACUUUGCUCAUUCUUAGAAUUGGAAACAAUCACCCAUGGAAGGAGUUACAGAGACAAAGUUUGGAGCUGAGACAAAAGGAUGGUCCAUCUAGAGACUGCCAUAUCCAGGGAUCCAUCCCAUAAUUAGCCUCCAAGCGAUGACACCAUUGCAUACACUAGCAAGCCUUUGUUGCAAGGACGGUGAUAUAGCUGUCCCUUGUGAGACUAGCAAACACAGAAGUGGAUGCUCACAGUCAACUAUUGGAUGGAUCACAGGGACCCCAAUGGAGGAGCUAGAGAAAGUAUCCAAAAGAGCUAAAGAAAUCUGCAACCCUAUCGGAGAAACAACAAUAUGAACUAACCAGUACCCCAGAGCUCUUGACUCUAGCUGCAUAUGUAUCAAAAGAUGACCUAGUCGGCCACCACUGAAAAGAGAGGCCCAUUGGUCAGGCAAACGUUAUAUGCCCCAGUACAGGGGAACGCCAGGGCCAAAAAAUGGGAAUGGGUGGGUAGGGGAGUGGGGGGGGGCACUUUUGGGAUAGCAUUGGAAAUGUAAUUGAAGAAAAUACGU